rnacentral:rRNA from 1 species
CUACUAAAUCCAUCUUAUCUACCCCCUUUAGGAGGUGGUCUGCUCUAUAAAGAAAUGUAACCCACCCUCCCCUACAGAUACGCUGCACCUUGACCUGUCUUUAGGGGGUUCCUAUUUACCUUAACCUCUAGGUUAGAAGUUAGACGGCGAUAUACUAACAUACUGUAGGUAGGGUUGGCGGGUGGUAUCGAUUAUGGGGCAGGUUCCUCUAGCUAAAUAGGGUGCCGCCAAAUUCUUUGGGUUUGGAGGACAUAACAAAUACUACCCACUCUACCUAUUUACCUCUCUAUAGCUGGGUAUCUAAUCCAAGUUUA